GCAUAACGCGAAGAACCUUACCAAGGCUUGACAUGUGCCAGACCGCCUCAGAGAUGGGGUUUCCCUUCGGGGCUGGUUCACAGGUGGUGCAUGGUUGUCGUCAGCUCGUGUCGUGAGAUGUUGGGUUAAGUCCCGCAACGAGCGCAACCCUCGUUCCAUGUUGCCAGCACGUAGUGGUGGGGACUCAUGGGAGACUGCCGGGGUCAACUCGGAGGAAGGUGGGGAUGACGUCAAAUCAUCAUGCCCCUUAUGUCUUGGGCUUCACGCAUGCUACAAUGGCCGGUACAAUGGGUUGCGAUACUGUGAGGUGGAGCUAAUCCCUAAAAAGCCGGUCUCAGUUCGGAUUGGGGUCUGCAACUCGACCCCAUGAAGUCGGAGUCGCUAGUAAUCGCAGAUCAGCAACGCUGCGGUGAAUACGUU
rnacentral:rRNA from 1 species